rnacentral:rRNA from 1 species
AGAUUGAACGCUGGCGGCAGGCCUAACACAUGCAAGUCGAGCGGCAGCACGGGUACUUGUACCUGGUGGCGAGCGGCGGACGGGUGAGUAAUGCCUAGGAAUCUGCCUGAUAGUGGGGGAUAACGUUCGGAAACGGACGCUAAUACCGCAUACGUCCUACGGGAGAAAGUGGGGAUCGUUCGGACCUCACGCUAUCAGAUGAGCCUAGGUCGGAUUAGCUAGUUGGUAGGUAAGCCUACAAGGCUACGAUCCGUAACUGGUCUGAGAGAUGAUCAGUCACACGUGGAACUGAGACACGGUCCAGACUCCGAGGGAGCAGCAGUGGAUAGUGAGAUAGCGAAGAC